CCAGGAGCACCGACAGCAUCAAGCAGCGGCCGUGGAGGUCGGACGGGGAGGGCUGCAGCGGGAAGGGCAGCACUGAGAGCAGUGGGGAGAGCCACCGGGCAGAGGCAGAGGGGAAGGAGGAUGACGUGAGCAGCAUCAUGAGGAAGUACCUGGGAAAAGAGUGAGUUUCCAGAAGCUGAGUCUUUAUCUGAAGUUUUAUAAUUCCAUUCAUAACUGAAGCUGGACACAUCUGCAGUUUCAUGACUGUUGCCUGCUGGGACAUCUUCUGGCCACACCCCACUGCCAUGAAGGACAGCAUACAGCACCUGUUGCAAUGGGAGGCUGUAUUCCCAUGUCUGCUUGGUUUUUACACAAUAAAAUUUUUGCUUCUUCA